UUUCCCCGAGUGGUACUUCUUUCCCAUGUUUCAAAUACUCCGUACGGUACCCAAUAAGUUAUUGGGCGUUCUCUUAAUGGUUUCUGUGCCAAUAGGCUUAUUGACAGUACCUUUUCUAGAGAAUGUCAAUAAAUUUCGAAAUCCAUUUCGU